UCAGGAUGAACGCUAGCUACAGGCUAACACAUGCAAGUCGAGGGGCAGCAUUGGAGUAGCAAUACUCAGAUGGCGACCGGCGCACGGGUGAGUAACACGUAUCCAACCUGCCGCUUACUCGGGGAUAGCCUUUCGAAAGAAAGAUUAAUACCCGAUGGUAUAAAGAGUUCGCAUGUUCUCUUUAUUAAAGAAUUUCGGUAAGCGAUGGGGAUGCGUUCCAUUAGAUAGUUGGCGGGGUAACGGCCCACCAAGUCUACGAUGGAUAGGGGUUCUGAGAGGAAGGUCCCCCACAUUGGAACUGAGACACGGUCCAAACUCCUACGGGAGGCAGCAGUGAGGAAUAUUGGUCAAUGGACGAGAGUCUGAACCAGCCAAGUAGCGUGAAGGAUGACUGCCCUAUGGGUUGUAAACUUCUUUUAUAAGGGAAUAAAGUGAGGGACGUGUCCCUUUUUGUAUGUACCUUAUGAAUAAGGAUCGGCUAACUCCGUGCCAGCAGCAGC
rnacentral:rRNA from 1 species